GAAUGCUGACAUAAGUAACGAUAAAGCGGGUGAAAAGCCCGCUCGCCGGAAGACCAAGGGUUCCUGUCCAACGUUAAUCGGGGCAGGGUGAGUCGACCCCUAAGGCGAGGCCGAAAGGCGUAGUCGAUGGGAAACAGGUUAAUAUUCCUGUACUUGGUGUUACUGCGAAGGGGGGACGGAGAAGGCUAUGUUAGCCGGGCGACGGUUGUCCCGGUUUAAGCAUGUAGGCUGGUUGUCCAGGCAAAUCCGGAUAAUCAAGGCUGAGGUGUGAUGACGAGGCACUACGGUGCUGAAGUAACAAAUGCCCUGCUUCCAGGAAAAGCCUCUAAGCAUCAGGUAACAUCAAAUCGUACCCCAAACCGACACAGGUGGUCAGGUAGAGAAUACCAAGGCGCUUGAGAGAACUCGGGUGAAGGAACUAGGCAAAAUGGUGCCGUAACUUCGGGAGAAGGCACGCUGGUGUGUAGGUGAAGUCCCUGCGGAUGGAGCUGAGACCAGUCGAAGAUACCAGCUGGCUGCAACUGUUUAUUAAAAACACAGCACUGUGCAAACACGAAAGUGGACGUAUACGGUGUGACGCCUGCCCGGUGCCGGAAGGUUAAUUGAUGGGGUUAUCCGUAAGGAGAAGCUCUUGAUCGAAGCCCCGGUAAACGGCGGCCGUAACUAUAACGGUCCUAAGGUAGCGAAAUUCCUUGUCGGGUAAGUUCCGACCUGCACGAAUGGCGUAAUGAUGGCCAGGCUGUCUCCACCCGAGACUCAGUGAAAUUGAACUCGCUGUGAAGAUGCAGUGUACCCGCGGCAAGACGGAAAGACCCCGUGAACCUUUACUAUAGCUUGACACUGAACAUUGAGCCUUGAUGUGUAGGAUAGGUGGGAGGCUUUGAAGCGUGGACGCCAGUCUGCGUGGAGCCAACCUUGAAAUACCACCCUUUAAUGUUUGAUGUUCUAACGUUGGCCCCUUACCGGGGUUGCGGACAGUGUCUGGUGGGUAGUUUGACUGGGGCGGUCUCCUCCCAAAGCGUAACGGAGGAGCACGAAGGUUAGCUAAUCCUGGUCGGACAUCAGGAGGUUAGUGCAAUGGCAUAAGCUAGCUUGACUGCGAGCGUGACGGCGCGAGCAGGUGCGAAAGCAGGUCAUAGUGAUCCGGUGGUUCUGAAUGGAAGGGCCAUCGCUCAACGGAUAAAAGGUACUCCGGGGAUAACAGGCUGAUACCGCCCAAGAGUUCAUAUCGACGGCGGUGUUUGGCACCUCGAUGUCGGCUCAUCACAUCCUGGGGCUGAAGUAGGUCCCAAGGGUAUGGCUGUUCGCCAUUUAAAGUGGUACGCGAGCUGGGUUUAGAACGUCGUGAGACAGUUCGGUCCCUAUCUGCCGUGGGCGCUGGAGAAUUGAGGGGGGCUGCUCCUAGUACGAGAGGACCGGAGUGGACGCAUCACUGGUGUUCGGGUUGUCAUGCCAAUGGCACUGCCCGGUAGCUAAAUGCGGAAGAGAUAAGUGCUGAAAGCAUCUAAGCACGAAACUUGCCCCGAGAUGAGUUCUCCCUGAGACUUUAAGUCUCCUGAAGGAACGUUAAAGACGA
rnacentral:rRNA from 2 species